GAAACAAAUAGAACAAAUGAGACUUGAAACAAUUUCUUUUAGCACUCUAACUUAUAAGCAAAGACAAUCAACACCAAAUUAACAAAAAUAAGCCGAAGAAAACAGAAUCGCUCAAAUUUUCAGAAAUAGGCAUUUAAAAAAAAUUGAGAUUAAAUCAAAAAGAGGAGAAAAUCUAGCAGAAAAUCCACAAUAAAUGGACACUAAAUUUUACCCAAUUCUGUUCAAAACAACAUGGUC
rnacentral:misc_RNA from 1 species